rnacentral:sRNA from 1 species
UUGUAACCUGAUUAACUGAGACUGACGGCAACGCCAAAUUGCCUGAUGCGCUGCGCUUAUCAGGCCUACAAGUUGAAUUGCAAUUUAUUGAAUUUGCACAUUUUUGUAGGCCGGAUAAGGCGUUUACGCCGCAUCCGGCAACAUAAAGCGCAAUUUGUCAGCAACGUGCUUCCCCGCCACCGGCGGGGUUUUUUU